rnacentral:rRNA from 1 species
UACAGAGGGUGCGAGCGUUAAUCGGAAUUACUGGGCGUAAAGCGCACGUAGGUGGCGACGUAAGUCGGGUGUGAAAGCCCCGGGCUCAACCUGGGAAUUGCAUUCGAGACUGCAUUGCUGGAGUACGGAAGAGGAGGGCGGAAUUCACGGUGUAGCGGUGAAAUGCGUAGAUAUCGGGAGGAACAUCAGAGGCGAAGGCGGCCCUCUGGUCCAGUACUGACACUCAAGUGCGAAAGCGUUGGGAGCAAACAGG